rnacentral:rRNA from 1 species
CCUACGGGCGGCAGCAGUGGGGAAUAUUGGACAAUGGGCGAAAGCCUGAUCCAGCCAUGCCGCGUGUGUGAAGAAGGCCUUCGGGUUGUAAAGCACUUUCAGUGGGGAAGAAAGCCUUGGGGCUAAUACCCUCGAGGAAGGACAUCACCCACAGAAGAAGCACCGGCUAACUCCGUGCCAGCAGCCGCGGUAAUACGGAGGGUGCGAGCGUUAAUCGGAAUUACUGGGCGUAAAGCGCGCGUAGGCGGUCUGAUAAGCCGGUUGUGAAAGCCCGGGCUCAACCUGGGAACGGCAUCCGGAACUGUCAGGCUAGAGUGCAGGAGAGGAAGGUAGAAUUCCCGGUGUAGCGGUGAAAUGCGUAGAGAUCGGGAGGAAUACCAGUGGCGAAGGCGGCCUUCUGGACUGACACUGACGCUGAGGUGCGAAAGCGUGGGUAGCAAACAGGAUUAGAUACCCCGGUAGUC